CCACAUGGAAUAACAGGCACUGGAUUUAGCCUCCUGUCUGAAGAAAAAAUAGAACAUAAGAACCACGGUUUUCAAGACGGUGGGCAUCAGGAGCAAAGUGCUGUGAUCUACGAGAGAUGGGAGACAAGUGAGGGCUGACGUUGGACUGCUGGGCCUCAGCAUGACUGAAACCUGGGGAGAAGGGCCAGUUCAGCGAGGAAAGCAAGGUCCUGGGCCUCAUGCAAAGACAAGUGUCCUGCAAGUGAAUGCAUAUAUUCCUGCUAUAUGGACUCCUCUUGGAAGAGCCAGGCUGGCGGACAUUGUCACCAACCACUUGGGGAAUAGAAGCAAAGACCUCGAAAUCUGCAAAACGCAGCGAAAUUGAUCUCGAAAAGAAUAUCCCGGCGUC